GGAGGGUUGGGAGAGUGGCUGAAUCCGUUCGCUUGGAAAGCGAAUUUACGCCAAAAGCGUAACGCGAGUUCGAAUCUCGCAUCCUCCGCCA
rnacentral:tRNA from 1 species